ensembl:snoRNA SNORA74 Small nucleolar RNA SNORA74
CCCAACUGUUGGCAACUGCCUAGGUUGCCUUGUACCUAGCAAGUGUCACACUGCUGAGAGAAAAGCAGCCAAUAGCUGGUUGUCAUUCUGGGCCUGGCUAAGGCCAAAUUUGUGUUAACUAUGCCAGUGUGCCAGCAUAAU